CUCAAAUGAAUUGACGGGGGCCCGCACAAGCGGUGGAGCAUGUGGUUUAAUUCGAUGCAACGCGAAGAACCUUACCUGGUCUUGACAUCCACAGAACUUUCCAGAGAUGGAUUGGUGCCUUCGGGAACUGUGAGACAGGUGCUGCAUGGCUGUCGUCAGCUCGUGUUGUGAAAUGUUGGGUUAAGUCCCGCAACGAGCGCAACCCUUAUCCUUUGUUGCCAGCGGUUAGGCCGGGAACUCAAAGGAGACUGCCAGUGAUAAACUGGAGGAAGGUGGGAUGACGUCAAGUCAUCAUGGCCCUUACGACCAGGGCUACACACGUGCUAC
rnacentral:rRNA from 1 species